GGAGGGGUGGGUGAGCGGACGAAACCGCCGGUCUUGAAAACCGGUGAGCCUAGUGCUCCGUGGGUUCGAAUCCCACCCCCUCCG
rnacentral:tRNA from 1 species